UGACUGUCCGAUCAUGCAAAGUUUGUCAGCGCGCAUAAUCAAGUGCAUUCAUCUUCUUUUACGAUUCUUCGGUGGAACAAAUGUGGAGCAAAUUAAGGCAGAAUUUGCAGCUUUGAUUCCAAUAUAUCCUAUAUACAACUCGUUACUAUUUGCACGGCGGCACUUAAGCGGGGCAGAUGUAUCGACGCGUUAUCCUCCCCAACUAUCCUCAAUCCUUAUUACUCCUCUCAGUUUCUUACCUUCCUUCCCUUUUUCUAUCGUUACUUGUAGCGUACAUGGCAUUGUGUCAAACACGUAUUCCGUGCGAUGAGCGAUAUUCAAGUUUAACUUAUAAUGUCCUAAUAUGACAAAAUACACGUCGGGAGUGUCGGCUAAAAUAUCGUGUGACUAUUGUAAUAUCGUUCCGCCGUAAUUUUUCGCAGUAGUAUAAAACGCGUGUCGGGAGUGCGUUUAAAGUGCCGUGCGUCACGAACGUGUGUGAAUACCUUCAAGACCACUGAGAGGAGGAAGAGGCUCGAGAGGAACAUCGGGCGCCGGCGGAGCAAC